rnacentral:rRNA from 1 species
AACUUUCAACAACGGAUCUCUUGGCUCUGGCAUCGAUGAAGAACGCAGCGAAAUGCGAUAAGUAAUGUGAAUUGCAGAAUUCAGUGAAUCAUCGAAUCUUUGAACGCACAUUGCGCCCGCCAGUAUUCUGGCGGGCAUGCCUGUUCG